GAAUAAUUUCAUUUUUGGUGCCUGAAUUAAACAUAAGCCAAAGGUCGUGAAAAUGCCAGUUGUGUGAGUUUUUCCAAUUAGGGAACUUCACACGCAGCCAGAGACAGCCAAAUGAAAGACAAGCGGAAAGCCAGCCAAAGGAAAUUUGUGAAAAUAUCAAUUUAGUUAAUUCGCUCGGCGAGAAGGCGAACAAAGUUAAAUAAAAGCGGAAAUCCAGCGCAGCAGUGCCAAAAGUACAACAAAACAUGGCAAAACAAAGCAGGGCAAACACAAAUACCAGCUCAAACAGUCGCUUCUCGGUAGUACAUACCACCAUGGUGGGCAAAUAGAGCACUGACUAUGUGAAAAGGAUGGAUGGUUGGCUGGUGGAUGGUUGCUAAGUGCUGGGGACCCACUGCACUUGCUACUGCAACUGCCACUGCCACUUGGCCAACUGCAUUUGCACUUGCAAUCGCUUGCUACUUUGCUUUGUCCUACGAAAUUCGUGGGCUAAAAAGGAUUGCUAGGAUGCAAUGGAGGUGUAAUGAUGACGCCCCAUGAAUACAAAUUUGGGCGAAAGGAAAAGUGCUAAAACAACUUUCAUUCAAGUUUUCGACUGACUGCGACUUAAGUGGCGUAAUCACAUUUUCCAAAAAUAGUUUUAAUGGGCUCGGAAUAAAAUUCAUUGCACU
ensembl:ncRNA lncRNA:CR46022 long non-coding RNA:CR46022